UUUAGGUAGUGGAGAAAGAAGGGUAUCUUCUGAAAGCAAAAAUAGCAGAUGGUGGCAAGAAAUUAAGGAAAAACUGGUCCACAUCUUGGAUUGUUCUUACUGCUCGGAAAAUGGAAUUCUACAAAGAAUCCAAACAGCCCGCGCUGGCCAAUCUGAAACCAGGAUAUAAGCCUGAAUGUGUGGAUUUGUGUGGUGCGCGCAUUGAGUGGACCCCAGAGAAAUCCAGCAGAAAGAAUGUCUUUCAGGUAAGAGCCCGUGCGUGCAUUCCACUGCUCAUUUGAGGAUACAGUCUCUUAAGCUAAGA